rnacentral:misc_RNA from 1 species
GAUGAAGAACGUAGCGAAAUGCGAUAAGUAAUGUGAAUUGCAGAAUUCAGUGAAUCAUCGAAUCUUUGAACGCACAUUGCGCCCGCCAGUAUUCUGGCGGGCAUGCCUGUUCGAGCGUCAUUUCAACCAUCAAGCCCUAGGCUUGCGUUGGGGCCCUGCGGCUGUCCGCAGGCUCCUAAAUACAGUGGCGGGCUCGCUAUCACACCGAGUGCAGUAGUCUUCUUUCUCGCUCAGGGCGUGUAGUGGGUGCUAGCCGUAAAACCCCCCUUAUCUCACAAGGUUGACCUCGGAUCAGGUAGGAAUACCCGCUGAACUUAAGCAUAUCAAUAAGCGGAGGA